AGUAGACCAAAGGUAUGAUGAUCAAUUAUAAAUGCAAUAUGGUUGAACCCUCAGUAAACAAACAACAAAAAGCUUGACAAAAAUGUAGCUUGAAGGAGAAGGGACAGCUGAGAAACAAAGUCCUGGUACGCAGACGACGAUACUAUUACACUGACAAGAGUGUAAUGAUGAUGGAGACACAAGCCAGAGAAAGGGGGGACCAAACACCAGGCCAGAAUUCUGCAUGAGUCAGCUCCAGUGGGUGCAGAUCAUCAUACAGAUGGUUCAAGUGUGGAUCCACCUAAUAUUCAAGAUUUUCUGUCCUGGGACACUCGGCUAACCAGCAAGAAAGAACACAGAAGCUCCAGUGGGCAUCCUUUAUCCAUCCAGACCCUCAUACAGAUGGUUGGAGUUUUGAUUCACCUAAAGUACCAUGCAAGAGCACUCAUUUUCCCUCUUGAGAGACCAUGGUGUGACCUGCAAGGUCGAAUGGAGACUGUAAACGAGACAAUCUUGGAGUCACCUGCAUUCACUGGUCCAGUUAGUCCAAUUACAGAUGGAGAUUAUAGAAGAGGAUGAUGUCUUUUCUCCAACAUCUUUCUAGACUGAUAAAAGGGCUUGAACAAAAGUUAACAGAGGGGCUUAUAUAGAGAAUGGUAAGAACCAUUUUAUCCAUCAAACUUUUUACCAAUUAUUGUAAACAUAAACAAUAUUAUAGGGCUUAAUUUGUUUUAAACAUUACUUCAAUGUACUGUAUCUGUUUAAGGUGAGCAGCUACACAUAAAAGAAGAACAUGGAGAAUCUGCCCAGAGGUGUUAACCAGCAAUGCAGCUAUACAACUAAAUUGAUGCAGGCGGAAACAAUGUGUGUAUGUUAUGUCCAAAUGUUGUUAUGUUCAAAUGUUUUACAAUUUACUUAAACAGGUGGACCUGUCAUUAUUGCAUUAGUCAAGUACAACUAAGUAGGUUAAGUUUACAUAUCAACGUCAAUAAAUAUAUAUAAAUAAAUAUCAGUUUUGACAGCAAACAUAAUAAUGUAAAAUAAAAUAAUAAUUACAGCUUUUUAAGAAAUUUACACGGGCUCAAACUAUCAGUGAAAUUAACUAUCAAAAACCUAAAAUAACCACAGACACGCGAAUAAAAUAUCUAACGUGAACUAGCUAGUUACUGUACAUACAUUGCUUAUUAUCAACGAAAUUUCUAGUUAACUGAUCCCACACUCAGCAUUAUUAAAAUGUAUUAUUACUACAUACCUUAAACAGAUGUUCCCUUAAAUCGCCAGACCAGGACAGGUUUCUUUCUUGCCGUUCUUCUUUUGCAUUAAGACGUCAAUAUAAGUGCAUGGUGUAGCACGAAUUUAACGCAAAGACGCUCAUAUUAAUAAUAUACACGAUAUUGACGAUUAAUACGGAUGAUUUUAUCUUUGUUUGACAUUCUAAUCAGAGUUAUAUUAAGGAAACAAAGAAAACAUAUGACAUAGUUUGUAAAAUUAAUUUUUCCUCAUUUUUUGUAAUGGUUUCUUUUAGAAUGCAGCUGCAGAUGAAGAAUCCGUCCGUCUACCACUGAAGGAGACGCGGAAAUUCCUUCCAAGAUGUUCUUUGCCCGAGGAAGCAUUUGAUUAAUUUAAAGAUAUUGUGUUUCUUUGUAUGUUACAGAAAAACGUUGCUUUUUUGCAUACACUCGUGUAAAUAUGCAUCUUAUGAAUGUUUUCCUUUGUCUAAUUUUAAUAAAUUUUACGCAAUCAA